GUCGGUGGACGCAUGCGCAGCAGAGGAUCUCUUGACCACGCCCGUUUCCCCAUUCAACGCCACGUUACCUGCGACUCUCAAUGCCACCCUUAUUACCUCACUUAAUGACACAGAAGCUCUACCUCACCACACCAUAUACGACCUGUCCUACUGCUACAACGGCGUCAUCGGAAUAUUCCUAAACAUUGUGAUUAGCAGCAUCGCGUCCAUCUGCACAGGACCUCUUCUGCCGAGGGAAGUAAGGUCCGAUUUGGUUUACCCACCUUGCUCAAAGCUCUACCGCCGCCUCUGCUUCCUUCUCGGAUAUCGACUUGAAGACAGCAGCAAGGCGGAAUGCGCCGAGAAGGAAAUUACUCUCUCCAUGUUACCUUCGGA